GCGCUCGUAGCUCAGUGGAUAGAGCGCUAGCCUCCGGAGCUAGAAGUCGGGGGUUCGAAUCCCUCCGAGCGCG
rnacentral:tRNA from 1 species